GACAGAGGCCUCAAGCGUUAGGCGGAAUCACUGGGCUUAAAGCGUGUGUAGGCGGGUCGUUAAGUACCUUGUGAAAUCCCACGGCUCACCCGUGGAACUGCUGGGUAUACUGGCGAUCUUGGGCCAUUUAGGGGCAACUGGAACAAGCGGUGGGAGCGGUGAAAUGCGUAGAUAUCGCUUGGAACGCCAAAGGUGAAAAACAGGUUGCUGGGAAUGUGCC
rnacentral:rRNA from 1 species